AGCCAGGUCUCCAGAUCGGGUGAUGUGCUGCUAGCCUCCGAAGGCCGGGCGCGAGGCUGCGCUCAGAGAGGCAUGACAUGGUCCGGUGUGACGGCGAGGACAGACGUGAUGCCGUCCGGCCUUCCUGACCAUUCUAGGCUGGCGCCGCGGGGACCCGGAACACCCAAGGGCUCGUUCCUCUGCGCUCCUGAAGGAGCCGACACAUGACUGCUGCUCUCUGGACCCCUAGAACCCUCAAAACGACAAGAAAUGGUGCUACCCAGCUCACGCCUGGGCCUUGGAACUGGGACUUCUUCAAGUCCCCUCUAGCUCUGACUCAAGAAUAUGCUGCAUUCUGGAACCACUACACUCCUUGACUCAGGAAUCGGCUCUGGAAGGUCAAGCUACAGGAACGAGACCAGCCCGACAGCAAGACCGUCGGAAGCGAGCAGCACCCGCGGCGGCCGCCACCCCGCCUGGCGCCUCCGUCUCCGUGGCCACCCUGCCGUGGACAGGCGACCACCAACCAGCCUCCACGCCCCCACGCCCCUCACCCUCCUUCUCUUCUUCCUUUCCUCUGUGCUUUCAUUUCCUUUCUUUCCUUUCCCCUUUGCUCGGGACUCAAAGCCACCGUGACUCCGUUUCCCCGUCCCUCCCGAAUUCAAUUUGCACUAAGUCGUUUGCACUGGUUUGGAGUUCUGGGUCUGGCCUCGAGUCCCCGAGCGCGUGUGCAAGCAAGCUGCUGAGUGCCCGCACCGUGCCCAGCGCCCACCUGCCGUCCAUCUCUGCCUGGGGGUGCCUGGGCGCGGCCGAGUGUGUGGGGCCCCACCCUCCCCUUGCCUAGUCUGGGAGCUCCAAACACCGAGCAAACCUUGAAGCAUUCCGUUGUAGAGCAAGCUCGCUCUGUGCCCCUCCCCACCAGGGUUUCACCAGAAGCCCUGGACUCAUCAAUAAACUCAGUUACAGCAA